GAUUGAAGAACGUAGCGAAAUGCGAUAAGUAAUGUGAAUUGCAGAAUUCAGUGAAUCAUCGAAUCUUUGAACGCACAUUGCGCCCCCUGGUAUUCCGGGGGGCAUGCCUGUUCGAGCGUCAUUUCACCACUCAAGCCUCGCUUGGUAUUGGGCAACGCGGUCCGCCGCGUGCCUCAAAUCGACCGGCUGGGUCUUCUGUCCCCUAAGCGUUGUGGAAACUAUUCGCUAAAGGGUGUUCGGGAGGCUACGCCGUAAAACAACCCCAUUUCUAAGGUUGACCUCGGAUCAGGUAGGGAUACCCGCUGAACUUAAGCAUAUCAAUAAGCGGAGGA
rnacentral:misc_RNA from 1 species